rnacentral:rRNA from 1 species
UUAUUGGAGAGUUUGAUCCUGGCUCAGGAUGAACGCUGGCGGCGUGCCUAAUACAUGCAAGUCGAGCGAAUGGAUUAAGAGCUUGCUCUUAUGAAGUUAGCGGCGGACGGGUGAGUAACACGUGGGUAACCUGCCCAUAAGACUGGGAUAACUCCGGGAAACCGGGGCUAAUACCGGAUAACAUUUUGAACUGCAUGGUUCGAAAUUGAAAGGCGGCUUCGGCUGUCACUUAUGGAUGGACCCGCGUCGCAUUAGCUAGUUGGUGAGGUAACGGCUCACCAAGGCAACGAUGCGUAGCCGACC